GCCCCUUUUUGUCAUGGAUUGAGACAAUGGUAGAUGGUAAGCAUAGGGCACUCGACAUGGCAAAAAGGAGGCAUAUUUGUGCAAUGAACCAACCCUUCGAGCAUAUUCUGCUGAAGCAAAUUACAAGCUGAAAGCUACAUCUAUCUUCCAUUCAAUGAUAUACAUCAUCAAUUAGCUUGGAAGAAGAUAACUAUCAAGAGGUUGAUUGAAGUCGCUAACUUGCAGGGAAGUGAUGAUAGAACUUAUUCUUCUAAGCUUCUUGAGGACAAGACCUCUACAAGAUUCCAAGCUUAAUAAAUCUCCAUUUAAUCCCUGUCAAAUCACACACCGAUACAAUAACUUUGCCUGGACCUGAACUGAAGAUAUUAUACAAGAUCUGAUGCCUCUAACUGAGACGUCAUCCAACUUGGGUUAUGUUUGUUCAAGUGUUACAAUUUCAACUUGGGUUCUUCAUGGUCUGAUGAGCCUACCAAGGGGGAGCUUGAGUACUGCAGCCUAACAUGUUAUUAUGCCAAAACACCAUCACCUCUACAUGUAUUCUAUUAUUCCCUUUUAUUUUUGGUGUUUGCUCACAUACCUUGCUUCACAAAAAUCCAGAAUGUUGGAAAAGGUUGACUUAGAAGAAUUAGCAAGUGAGAAAGAGGAGUCCAAUUAAAUUCUACAAGUUGAAGAUUGUGAUGGGGCUUGAGUUGACAAUAAUUACUUGCAAUCCUACAUAGCAUGAACCACCAUCGCAAGUUUCUAAUCUUUUGACUAUUGUUCAUUAGUUGUAAAUGAAGUUUAUUUGUUUAUUUGUAUUGGGAUAAAUUUUAUUUGAAUAUUAGACAUGUUUC